UUCCGUAGGGUGAACCUGCGGAAGG
rnacentral:rRNA from 1 species